ACCUUUUCCCACAUUGUCAGCUUGCUCUCAGUCUUCCCUCAGUCCUUGUGGUCCUUCCUCUUGCUGAGAUAUUUUUUUCCCCUCUCUUUUCAUCCCCUCAUUUGUCAUGUCCUGUGUCACGGGUGCCUGCAUGCAUUUGGGUCGGAGCUGCUCUGCCCUGCUGUGCAGUCUGGGCACAGGUGUGCUAGGACUGGUCCUGGGGACUUGCUUUGAGUAAUGUGGGGUGGUGUUGGACCCUAGAUGAAAUCUGGAGGUAUAAAGUUAUCCUGCAGCACAUUUGACUUCUGUCCUACCUUCCUUUCAGAUGUAGAUGGAUCAGAUCUGAGGCUGCGGGCCCAUCCUAGGAAAUGAAGCUGGAUAUCAGCAGGCAAAGAGAAGCAGGCCAGGCAGUGUUCUUGAGCUACCCUGAGAUGGCUCUGCCCAGCUGGCCCAGAGACCCAGUUCACUGCUCCUGUGAGCCCUCCAGCAGUAUUGCAGGACACUGAUGAAGCCUUCACCUUCUCCUAUUUGAAGAUGCCAGCUGGGUGGCCUUUGGCAAGAGCAAGGCAGUUGCGGUGUACCCUGCUACAGCAGUGUCAGCUUCUGAGUGUGGCUGAAGCCUGUGACGUGAGCCCCUGGGCAUUCUUGGGAGAUGCUGACUAAGGGACAACAGCCCAGUGAUGGCAGGAAUUUCCCAGAUGGUGAAGCUUUUUUACUCCACACCUGGCAUGGAUUCUCAUACCUGGAUCUCUGACAGAUAAGUGCUGGGCUCCAACCCACAGAGGGGCUGGGAGCAGGAUGCUGGGUCUGGAAUUGUCAGGAGGGAUUUUUGAGGCAGCUUUGGAGCUGGGGAUGGCCAAGAAGCAGCCGCUUAUUUCCCCUAAUGGGAAGAGUCUCUUUUUGAUCUUAAGGCUGUAGUAGACAGGGCAGAGCAGUUCCUCUGGGUGUCAUGUCACUUGUCUCUUGUGCAGUCUGUGUCUUCUGUGUGUGUUGUAUUGCAUGUCUCUUACCUUAGCCCUCUGAGGGGCCUGUCAGAAACCCUGAGGUCAUCCAUAGCAUCUUGUGAUCUCUGCAUUCCUCAGCCUGGCUCUGGUGCCAUCAAACCUUGGUCUCAGGAGCUUGGACAGGCAUCUGACUCUCUUCUCUUUUGGAAAGCAUUCAGUCUGAUCUCUUUUAAGGUCUUCUUCUGGGCUGUGCACCUGAAGGAUCCAUUAUCUCAGAUUGGAGCUUGGAAGAAUGGAAGAUAAGAGGAUUCUCAGGCAUCCAUCUCUGCAGUUCUUGAAGCAAAUCAUUCUGCUAGCAUCUUUUUCCCACCUUGUCAGCUUGCUCUCAGUCUUCCCUCAGUCAUCUCAUUUUGCAUUCCCUCAGUCCUUGUGGUCCUUCCUCUUGCUGAGAUUAUUUUUUCCCUCUCUUGUCAUCUCCUCAGUUUGUCAUGUCCUGUGUUCACGGGUGCCUGCAUGCAUUUGGGCCAGAAACUGCUCUGCCCUGUUGUGUAGUCUGGGUGUAGGUGUGCUAGGACCAGUCCUAGGGACUUGAUUUUUGUCAUGUGGGCUGUAGCUGCACUCUAGACAUCUGCAGAUUGAUCCAAGAUCUCUGGAGGUGUUAUGUUAUCCUGCAGCACUUUGACUUGUGUCCUACCUUCCUUUCAGAUGCAGAUGGAUCCAAUCAGAGGACAAGGGCCCCUCCUGGGCAGUGCCCUUGAACUACCCUGAGAUGGCUCUGCCCAGCUGGCCAAGAGACCCAGUUCACUGCUCCUGUGAGCCCUCCAGCAGUAUUCCAGGACUCUGAUGAAGCCUUCACCUUCUCCUAUUUGAAGAUGCCAGCUGGGCAGCC